rnacentral:rRNA from 1 species
UACAGAGGGUGCAAACGUUGCUCGGAAUUAUUGGGCGUAAAGCGCGUGUAGGCGGUCUGUUAGGCCGACCGUGAAAUCCCAUGGCUCAACCAUGGAAGGGCGGUCGGAACCGGCAGACUUGAGUCCUGACGAGGAUGGCGGAAUUCCCAGUGUAGAGGUGAAAUUCGUAGAUAUUGGGAGGAACACCGGUGGCGAAGGCGGCCAUCUGGGAAGCGACUGACGCUGAGACGCGAAAGCGUGGGUAGCAAACAGG